UGUUCUACUUUUAUUGAAAACAUGACAAUAUUCAGAAUUUGAUACAGGUCAUGUGAACAAGCAUGUUCAGUUUGGAUAUUCUGAAUUAGGCCUUAUUCCGAAUGGAGCAUUUUCCAAUUAAGACAUGUGGGAUAUGCCAAUAUUAUUCAGGUUUUAAGAGCAUUCUUUGGACGCAGCACAUUCACAAUAUGCGUCUCAGCUGGGGUUUUUAUGGUAGUUUGUGACACACAACCUCUUGCCUGUUUGCGGCCAGCUUUGUGCGUUGUACACAAACAAACUAGCUGACAGUUUGCAGAGAUGCAUGCCCAAAA